rnacentral:rRNA from 1 species
AUUGAACGCUGGCGGCAUGCCUUACACAUGCAAGUCGAACGGCAGCAUGGAAGAGCUUGCUCUUCUGAUGGCGAGUGGCGAACGGGUGGGUAAAGCAUCGGAACGUACCGCGUAGUGGGGGAUAACGUAGCGAAAGUUACGCUAAUACCGCAUACGCACUGAGGUGGAAAGCAGGGGAUCGCAAGACCUUGCGCUAUACGAGCGGCCGAUGUCAGAUUAGCUAGUUGGUAGGGUAAAGGCCUACCAAGGCGACGAUCUGUAGCGGGUCUGAGAGGAUGAUCCGCCACACUGGGACUGAGACACGGCCCAGACUCCUACGGGAGGCAGCAGUGGGGAAUUUUGGACAAUGGGGGCAACCCUGAUCCAGCCAUGCCGCGUGAGUGAAGAAGGCCUUCGGGUUGUAAAGCUCUUUCGGCUGGGAAGAAAUCGCACAGGCUAAUACUCUGUGUGGAUGACGGUACCAGCACAAGAAGCACCGGCUAACUACGUGCCAGCCGCCGCAGUAACAC